rnacentral:rRNA from 1 species
UCAGGCCUAACACAUGCAAGUCGAGCGGAAACGAGUUAUCUGAACCUUCGGGGAACGAUAACGGCGUCGAGCGGCGGACGGGUGAGUAAUGCCUAGGAAAUUGCCCUGAUGUGGGGGAUAACCAUUGGAAACGAUGGCUAAUACCGCAUAAUGCCUACGGGCCAAAGAGGGGGACCUUCGGGCCUCUCGCGUCAGGAUAUGCCUAGGUGGGAUUAGCUAGUUGGUGAGGUAAGGGCUCACCAAGGCGACGAUCCCUAGCUGGUCUGAGAGGAUGAUCAGCCACACUGGAACUGAGACACGGUCCAGACUCCUACGGGAGGCAGCAGUGGGGAAUAUUGCACAAUGGGCGCAAGCCUGAUGCAGCCAUGCCGCGUGUAUGAAGAAGGCCUUCGGGUUGUAAAGUACUUUCAGUCGUGAGGAAGGUAGUGUAGUUAAUAGCUGCAUUAUUUGACGUUAGCGACAGAAGAAGCACCGGCUAACUCCGUGCCAGCAGCCGCGGUAAUACGGAGGGUGCGAGCGUUAAUCGGAAUUACUGGGCGUAAAGCGCAUGCAGGUGGUUUGUUAAGUCAGAUGUGAAAGCCCGGGGCUCAACCUCGGAAUAGCAUUUGAAACUGGCAGACUAGAGUACUGUAGAGGGGGGUAGAAUUUCA